rnacentral:lncRNA from 1 species
UCAAGUCCAAACUCCAUUACCUUUAUUCAAAAAUAACUCUAAUAUCAUCUCAUCGAUAACUGAUUUCAAAUCUCUAUUAUCAGCCCCAGUUUACCUAUAUCAGAUUUUGGCAUUGAUACGAAGCAUAAGACGUCGAUUUCUAAACAUACUCUUCACCGCUAAAUCUUCAUCUUGAUCUUGAUAUAGAAAAUCGCGGCUUCACCUAAAUCUUGACAGAAAGAAAAGUUGGGGAAAAAAAAUAAAACGAAAGAAAUAGUGAUGAACUUUUUGGUGCUUCUUCGAUUUUUUUUUAUGGCGUUGUUUC